rnacentral:rRNA from 1 species
UACAGAGGGUGCGAGCGUUAAUCGGAAUUACUGGGCGUAAAGCGUGCGUAGACGGCUAUCUAAGUCGGGUGUGAAAGCCCCGGGCUCAACCUGGGAAUUGCAUUCGAGACUGAAUAGCUAGGGUGCGGUAGAGGGAAGCGGAAUUUCCGGUGUAGCGGUGAAAUGCGUAGAUAUCAGGAGGAACACCAGCGGCGAAGGCGGCGCUCUGGGCCGGAACUGACGCUGAGGAGCGAAAGCAUGGGGAGCGAACAGG